rnacentral:misc_RNA from 1 species
UGAAGAACGCAGCGAAAUGCGAUAAGUAAUGUGAAUUGCAGAAUUCAGUGAAUCAUCGAAUCUUUGAACGCACCUUGCGCCCUUUGGCCAUUCCGAAGGGCAUGCCUGUUUGAGUAUCAUGAACACCUCAACUCUUCAUGGUUUUCCGUGAUGAGCUUGGACUUUGGGGGUCUUGCUGGCCUAUGGUCAGCUCCUCUAAAAUAAAUCAGCUUGCCAGUGUUUGGUGGGUAUCACAGGUGUGAUAACUAUCUACGCUUGUGGUUUUCCACCAGGUAACCUUCAGCAGUGGAGGUUCGCUGGAGCUCACAGAUGUGUCUCUCCUCAGUGAGGACAGCUCUUUGAAUGUUUGAUCUCAAAUCAGGUAGGACUACCCGCUGAACUUAAGCAUAUCAAUAAGCGGAGGA